UAAUUCGAGGGAGUUGAGACGAGGUGAAGAUACAACUCAGCAUUCGGCGAUGCCACCAUGUGUGCCAACUAUGCCCUACCCAUAUUGCGCAAGUGAGUCAUCAACUAUGCCAUCCAGUGCUGUAGGUGAAAAUAAUUUAGGAGAAACAUAUUCACAUCCAUAUCCAUAUGUUUGGGAUAGCUAG